AAUCAACGCUGGCGGCGUGCCUAACACAUGCAAGUCGAACGAGAAAGUGGAGCAAUCCAUGAGUAAAGUGGCGCACGGGUGAGUAACACGUGACUAACCUACCCUUGAGUGGGGGAUAACCUAGGGAAACCUGGGCUAAUACCGCAUAAUAAUCGAGAGAUCAAAGGAAGCAAUUACGCUUAAGGAGGGGGUCGGCGGCUGAUUAGCUAGUUGGU
rnacentral:rRNA from 1 species